rfam:Gossypium raimondii Chr12_contig_194, whole genome shotgun sequence.
UUAGCGGCGCUUUUUGAGAAGCGCCACAAAAUAUAUUAACAAAAACACAGU